rnacentral:rRNA from 1 species
AUACGUAGGUGGCAAGCGUUAUCCGGAAUUACUGGGUGUAAAGGGAGCGUAGGCGGGCGUGCAAGUCAGAUGUGAAAUACCGGGGCUCAACUCCGGGGCUGCAUUUGAAACUGUAUGUCUUGAGUGAUGUAGAGGUAAGCGGAAUUCCUAGUGUAGCGGUGAAAUGCGUAGAUAUUAGGAGGAACACCAGUGGCGAAGGCGGCUUACUGGGCAUUUACUGACGCUGAGGCUCGAAAGCGUGGGGAGCAAACAGGAUUAGAUACCCUGGUAGUCCACGCGGUAAACGAUGAUUACUAGGUGUGGGAGGACUGACCCCUUCCGUGCCGCAGUUAACACAAUAAGUAUUCCACCUGGGGAGUACGCCGGCAACGGUGAAACUUAAAGGAAUUGACGGG